rfam:Oryza nivara chromosome 1, whole genome shotgun sequence.
AAAAAAACAAACCUUGGAUUUCCGUGUCCAACGUUUAAUUAUUCAUCUUAUAUGAAAUUUUUUUUAUAAUUAGUAUUUUCAUUGUUGUUAGAUGAUAAAACAUGAUUAAUACUUUAUGCGUGACUUGUCUUUUUAAUUAUUUUUAUUUUUUUAAAUAAGACAAACGGUCAAAUGUUGGACAUAGAAAUCCAUGGUUUGUCUUUUU